rnacentral:tRNA from 3 species
UGGUCGGGAUAGCUCAGCUGGUAGAGC